rnacentral:tRNA from 1 species
GCCCUUGUAGCUCAGCGGUAGAGCACUCCCUUGGUAAGGGAGAGGUCAUGGAUUCAAAUUCCGUCGAGGGCA